AGGUAGCUCUCAGGAGUGGGGUUGCAAGGAGUCUCAUAAGGGGCUGUGGAGGGAAAUGGUAUGAAUAUUAAAAGUAAGUUCACGUCCUACACAAAGGGUAUCCUUACCUCACCUCUCUGCAGUGCCUUAUGGUUUUCAAACCAUAUGGUUUGGCUUGCAUAUCCAUGCUCCCGAUUCUCCUGAAUUUUUCUGAGGGAGAUGGAAUAGCUAUUAUUUUUUUCAAUGUUUAUUUUUGAGAGAGAGAGAAAGACAGAGCGUGAGCAGGGGAGGGGCAGAGAGGGAGACACGGAAUCCAAAGCAGGCUCCAGGCUCUGAGCUGUCAGCACAGAGCCUGAUGAAGGGCUAAAAUUCAGGGACCACGAGAUCAUGACCUGAGCUGAAGUUGGACGCUUAACAGACUGAGCAACCCAACCACUCUGGAAUCGCUAUUAUAAUCCCAUUUUAUACAUGGGGAAACAGAGCUGGUUGCUGAGACCAUCAGAGUCAUGGUUCUCAAUAAGGGGUCUUGAAAAUUUGUGGAUUGUUUUGAGUUACGACUAAAAUUGGGAGUGCUACUGGCAUUUAGUCAGGGGUGGGGAGCAUUGUUGCUCUGUGUCCUGUAAUGCUUGGCACUGUUCUGCAUUAAGAAUUUUUCUGGCACCUGGGUGGCUCAGUUGGUUAAGCCUCUGACUUCAGCUCAAGUCAUGAUCUCCCGGUUCAUGAGUUCGAGCCCUGUGUUGGACUCUGUGCUGACAGCUCAGAGCCUGGAACUGCUUCAGAUUUCUGUGUCUACCUCUCUCUCUGCCCCUCCCCCGCUCGUUCUCACUCUUUCUCUUUUUCUCUCAAAAAUAAAUAAAAACAUUUAAAAAAAAAAAAAGAAUUUUUCUGCAUCCUGCAUGAGGUUCACAUAUCCCAGCAGACAUUCAUGUAGGUAGAAAGCCUGUUUAAAAUGAUCAGAGCCUACAAUUUUGUAUGUGGCUUUAACUAUAUGUUGAAUUUUUAAAAACUGUAACUGCCAUAUAAAUCAAGCUAAGAUUAUAUACCUUGUUUAGCUUGGAACAAUACCAAGAACUUUUCCUUGGUUCAGAAAAGCCAUGUACCUGCAGCGACAUUAGCCAAGGAAUGUGAAGCACCAAAAUGAUACCUCUGGAUCCGUCAGGAUUUGUAGCUGUCACAUUCAUGGUGACUGGAUUGAAGUGCAAGUGUCUGACCACUUGAAAUGGAUCAUUGGAUGCUGCUAAGCAGCCAGCGGGCCAGGACUCCUAUGUUACGAUCUAGACCUGUCCUUUUUGGCAGAAUGGAGCCUUAUUUUCCUCAUCUGUAAAAUGGAGAUAUUAGUUCCCAUCUCGGAGAGUGAUGGUCCAGCUGGCAUGAGAAUUUCAUGAGAUGACUGAAUGUUAAUCAUCUUCACAAACAGAAGCCGUCAGGGUGGAAAGAGCAAGGUGGGAGGUAGGUACACACAAGUUUCGGCAAGAUGCGGAGACAGCCUUUGUUCCCACACGGGUACUCACAAAGGCUGCAGUGCAUGCAGCUUUACAAGGGGGCUUUGAGCAUUUUUUGCCUUACUUGAGUAUGUGGUUAGAAAUCAGGAGAGGAAGGGGAGAUGGGAGAGAACACACAGGGCAGUGCUGGGAGCCCUGAUGCUUAGAUGCACCAGGCAAAUUCCCUCUACCUGCCCCUUCAAGAACUCAGUGUCAGGGUGCCUGGGUGGCUUAGUGGGUUAAGCGUCUGACUUUGGCCCAGGUCAUGAUCUCACAGUUCAUGAGUCUGAGCCCUGCGUUGGCUCUGUGAUGACAGCUCAGAGCCUGGAGCCUGCUUUGGAUUCUCUCUCUGCCACUCUCCUGCUUGCGCUCUGUCUCUCCCUCUCUCUCUCAAAACUAAAUAAACAGUAAUAGGGGCGCCUGGGUGGCUCAGUCGGUUAAGCGUCCGACUUCAGUUCAGGUCAUGAUCUCACAGUUCGUGAGUUCGAGCCCCGCGUCGGGCUCUGUGCUGACAGCUUGGAGCCUGGAGCCUGCUUCACAUUCUGUGUCUCCCUCUCUCUCUGCCCCUUCCCAGCUCAUGCUCUGUCUCUCUCUGUCUCAAAAAUAAAUAAACAUUAAAAAAAAAAAUUAAA